rnacentral:rRNA from 1 species
ACUAUACGGCGAAACUGCGAACGGCUCAUUAUAUAAGUUAUCGUUUAUUUGAUAGCACCUCAUUACUUGGGUAACCGUGGUAAUUCUAGAGCUAAUACAUGCUAAAAAUCCCGACUCCGGAAGGGAUGUGUUUAUUAGAUUCAAAACCAAUGCCCCCUGGGCUCCCUGGUGAAUCAUGAUAACCGCUCGAAUCGCACGGCCUUGCGCCGGCGAUGGUUCAUUCAAAUUUCUUCCCUAUCAACUUUCGAUGUUUGGGUAGUGGCCAAACAUGGUUGCAACGGGUAACGGAGGGUUAGGGCUCGACCCCGGAGAAGGAGCCUGAGAGACGGCUACUACAUCCAAGGAAGGCAGCAGGCGCGCAAAUUACCCAAUCCCGACACGGGGAGGUAGUGACAAUAAAUACCGAUAUAGGGCUCUUUUGGGUCUUAUAAUUGGAAUGAGUACAAUUUAAAUCCCUUAACGAGGAACAAUUGGAGGGCAAGUCUGGUGCCAGCAGCCGCGGUAAUUCCAGCUCCAAUAGCGUAUAUUAAAGUUGUUGUGGUUAAAAAGCUCGUAGUUGAACCUUGGGCCUGGCUGGCCGGUCCGCCUCACCGCGUGCACUGGUCCGGCCGGGCCUUUCCCUCCGCGGAACCCCAUGCCCUUCACUGGGCGUGGCGGGGAAACGGGACUUUUACUUUGAAAAAAUUAGAGUGCUCCAGGCAGGCCUAUGCUCGAAUACAUUAGCAUGGAAUAAUGGAAUAGGACGCGCGGUUCUAUUUUGUUGGUUUCUAGGACCGCCGUAAUGAUUGAUAGGGACAGUCGGGGGCGUCAGUAUUCAACCGUCAGAGGUGAAAUUCUUGGACCGGUUGAAGACUAACUACUGCGAAAGCAUUCGCCAAGGAUGUUUUCAUUAAUCAGGAACGAAAGCUAGGGGAUCGAAGACGAUCAGAUACCGUCGUAGUCUUAGCCAUAAACUAUGCCGACUAGGGAUCGGGCGAUGUUAUUCUUUGACUCGCUCGGCACCUUCCGAGAAAUCAAAGUGCUUGGGCUCC